CACAGAUGGACACCAUCCCUCACCAAAGGUGUCCACCAACAGGUUUGAGGGUUGCCGCCGUGACUGGCACCGACAACCUCGCGGCCACAGCUCCGAUAAGCCACCUCAACAAAUGGAGGUACGGAACAUAGUCCACUCAGACUCAAUGUCCCCCACCUCCCCCAGAACAUGUUCAAAGUUCUGCUGGAGAUGGGAGUUAAAGCUACGUCUCACAGGGGACUAUGCCAGACGUUCCCAGCAGACACUCACUGUUUGGGCCUGCCAGGCCUGACCAGCAUCCUCCCCCACCACCGAAGCCAACUGACCAACAAUCAGUAGUGGUGGUUGUUGUGUUCUUUUGUGGGGAUUUUUCUGUGGUUCCCUUCAUUAUUCACUAGAGGGUGCCAAAAGGCUGCACCUACCUGGAGGGCGUGCCUGUGUUUCCUGGAUCCAGCACACCUGUGAGCCAUCAUCAUCUGCAAGGAGUAUAUGAGGAGGAGGCUGCCGGCACUUGAGUGACAGUGUUUUGCCUGUUACGGUGACGCCUUGGACCAAACCCCCGUGAAGCCUGGGUUUGCUGGCCCUCUGGAUCACCUCCCUCAUGACACCGUGGAUGUUACCC